ensembl:lncRNA
AAGAAAGAAAAUGUCAGGCUCUCAAGAUACAGAUGAGAUGUACAAGGGCUGCGUAUGUGGUCCCACAGGGUUAACUCUGAAGGUAUCCCUCUCCCUCAGUCACGGGACCCUCAUUUUGGCAUGAGCACAGGCCACCAUGUAUAAAGACGCUCCCAGACUACGUGCAGCUAGGUGAGGUCAUGUGACUACAGAGGCCCCUAGACCUGAGCAGAAGCUUCAAGGCAGAGCCAAGGACUGGAAAGAUCAGACGAUCUCAAUUGACCUAACUUCAAGUUCGCUAAUUCUUUCAUCUGCUUACUCAAACCUGCAGUAGAGCCCUUCAGUAAAAUGUUUCAUUUCCAUUGUUGUACAUUUCAACUCCAUCAUUUCUAUUUGGAUUCUCUUUGUAAUUUCUUUUUAUUGAUAUUCUCUAUUUC